GUACGGCCGCAAGGUUAAAACUCAAAUGAAUUGACGGGGGCCCGCACAAGCGGUGGAGCAUGUGGUUUAAUUCGAUGCAACGCGAAGAACCUUACCUGGUCUUGACAUCCACGGAAGUUUUCAGAGAUGAGAAUGUGCCUUCGGGAACCGUGAGACAGGUGCUGCAUGGCUGUCGUCAGCUCGUGUUGUGAAAUGUUGGGUUAAGUCCCGCAACGAGCGCAACCCUUAUCCUUUGUUGCCAGCGGUCCGGCCGGGAACUCAAAGGAGACUGCCAGUGAUAAACUGGAGGAAGGUGGGGAUGACGUCAAGUCAUCAUGGCCCUUACGACCAGGGCUACACACGUGCUACAAUGGCGCAUACAAAGAGAAGCGACCUCGCGAGAGCAAGCGGACCUCAUAAAGUGCGUCGUAGUCCGGAUUGGAGUCUGCAACUCGACUCCAUGAAGUCGGAAUCGCUAGUAAUCGUGGAUCAGAAUGCCACGGUGAAUACGUUCCCGGGCCUUGUACACACCGCCCGUCACACCAUGGGAGUGGGUUGCAAAAGAAGUAGGUAGCUUAACCUUCGGGAGGGCGCUUACCACUUUGUGAUUCAUGACUGGGGUGAAGUCGUAACAAGGUAACCGUAGGGGAACCUGCGGUUGGAUC
rnacentral:rRNA from 1 species